rnacentral:lncRNA from 1 species
AGAUAGCUAAAUAGUUUUUGCUAAAGGUUAUAUAAGACAAAUGCUGUCAUUGGAGAGUGCAUUAAUUAUAGCAACUAGAGUGGGAUCGUGGGUUGGAUCAGGUCAAGGGUGGUGUGUGGGAAGGAAAUGAAAGUAACGAGGGUGGCCAUGGUAAAAGCAUAGGCUACGGAAUGUAAAUAUUUACUGGUAACCUAGACUCGAGAGGGGGAGUUUUGGUGAGUGUUGGGACGGGAGAAAAAUAAAUUA